rnacentral:rRNA from 1 species
GAUAAGCAUAUCAAUAAGCGGAGGAAAAGAAACCAACAGGGAUUGCCCUAGUAACGGCGAGUGAAGCGGCAACAGCUCAAAUUUGAAAUCUGGCCUUCUUUGGGGGUCCGAGUUGUAAUUUGCAGAGGGCGCUUUGGCGUCGGCAGCGGUCUAAGUUCCUUGGAACAGGACGUCACAGAGGGUGAGAAUCCCGUACGUGGUCGCCUGCCUUCGCCGUGUAAAGCCCCUUCGACGAGUCGAGUUGUUUGGGAAUGCAGCUCUAAAUGGGAGGUAAAUUUCUUCUAAAGCUAAAUACUGGCCAGAGACCGAUAGCGCACAAGUAGAGUGAUCGAAAGAUGAAAAGCACUUUGGAAAGAGAGUCAAACAGCACGUGAAAUUGUUGAAAGGGAAGCGCUUGCCGCCAGACUUGCCCGUGAAGGUUCUCCUCCUCGGGCAGGCCAGCAUCAGUUUGAGCGAUCGGAUAAUGGCCUCUGUCAUGUAUCUUCCUUCGGGAUGACCUUAUAGGGGAGUCGUAGUACGGUCAGCUUGGACUGAGGUCCGCGCAUUUGCUAGGAUGCUGGCGUAAUGGCUGCAAGCGGCCCGUCUUGAAACACGGACCAAGGAGUCUAACAUCUAUGCGAGUGUUUGGGUGUCAAGCCCGAGCGCGCAAUGAAAGUGAACGGAGGUGGGAACCCUCUCUGGGGGUGCACCAUCGACCGAUCCUGAAGUCUUCGGAUGGAUUUGAGUAAGAGCAUGGCUGUUGGGACCCGAAAGAUGGUGAACUAUGCUUGAAUAGGGUGAAGCCAGAGGAAACUCUGGUGGAGGCUCGCAGCGGUUCUGACGUGCAAAUCGAUCGUCAAAU